UGCUUUCCCGAACUUCAUCGUCUUAGAUUUACCAUUUUUUGGUUGAAGAGACAAAGAGAAAGUCUGAAGGGGCCUUUUGUUUCAUCUCUUGUAAGCACCCUGAUUCACUUUUGAGGCAACCACCGUUUUUGUGCACGACCCUCCGAGUUCAACUACAAGAAACCCAAAUUAUAGGUCAUCCCUUAGAGUAGGUUAAAAACCUGCUUUGGUGAGCUCGAGGAAUUCACAAAUGGGUAUAAAUAUGUUCGAACUUUCUAUGAAGAGCCGUUAGUUCGUCUGGAGAAGUGGAAGAGUACGUGUCUAGGAUGAGGAUUUUUCGUCACCUGCCAUUGAUCGGGUGCCUUAUUUUUGUUCCAAAUGUGCUUUGUGUGGAUCCAUGCGAAAAUGGAAUCGUCACAGAUUCACUGAUUAUUAUGAACUACUCUGAGGACGAUUGCCUUCAAUCCAAUUCAAAGCAUUGUUAUAAAUCUCUGGACAGCAACAGUGGCCUCUGCUACCUGGGCAAAGAAGAGAGAACCAAC